rnacentral:rRNA from 1 species
GACGAACGCUGGCGGCGUGCUUAACACAUGCAAGUCGAACGGAAAGGCCCUGCUUUUGUGGGGUGCUCGAGUGGCGAACGGGUGAGUAACACGUGAGUAACCUGCCCUUGACUUUGGGAUAACUUCAGGAAACUGGGGCUAAUACCGGAUAGGAGCUCCUGCUGCAUGGUGGGGGUUGGAAAGUUUCGGCGGUUGGGGAUGGACUCGCGGCUUAUCAGCUUGUUGGUGGGGUAGUGGCUUACCAAGGCUUUGACGGGUAGCCGGCCUGAGAGGGUGACCGGCCACAUUGGGACUGAGAUACGGCCCAGACGCCUACGGGAGGCAGCAGUGGGGAAUAUUGCACAAUGGGCGGAAGCCUGAUGAAGCAACGCCGCGUGCGGGAUGACGGCCUUCGGGUUGUAAACCGCUUUCGCCUGUGACGAAGCGUGAGUGACGGUAAUGGGUAAAGAAGCACCGGCUAACUACGUG